rnacentral:lncRNA from 1 species
CCUCCCCGUAAGCGGGGCUCGGGUCUUUGCUGUAGUUGGCCUUUUGCCUUGCUGCUCCUUUGGCUGCCUGGGGAGCGUGGCCCCCUGUAACGGAGGGCGAGAGCCACCUCUCCGCACCUGAGUGGGAAAUGGAGCUCGCCGGACCCCAAGGCCACCCUGUAAGCAGGGUAGUGCCGUUUCCCUGCCCCUCUUCCUCCCCCGGCCCCUCGGCAUCGUUGCCUGAUGGUGGCUUGUCAAUGCGACGGCCCCGUACUCGGGGUGUGUGUCCCAAGCUUCGGAGCCCUCUGUCCCUGAGCAGCCCGCCCGCCCUGUAAUCAGGUGUGGGGAGGCUGCAGCGUUGCAGCCGGCUGCUUUAGCCAUCCAGCUGGUGGGAGUGACCCCUCCCUGUCCCGUCAGAGGGUGCAGGUUGAGGUGCUGUUUGUGUGUGGGGUGACCUCCCCGCUCGGUGGGUCGAGGUAGCUCCCUGGGCUUCCAAAGACGAGACGUUGGUGAUGUUCUGCUG